CGCCCGAGAACUACGAGCAAAGCUUAAAACUCAAAGGACUUGACGGUACCCCAUAUCCCCCUAGAGGAGCCUGUCCUAUAAUUGAUAACCCCCGUUUAACCUCACCAUUUUUAGCAAAUCAGUCUGUAUACCUCCGUCGUCAGCUUACCCCGUGAGCGAAACUUAGUGAGCUUAAUGCUAUUACACCAAUACGUCAGGUCAAGGUGCAGCAAAUGAAAUGGAAAGAGAUGGGCUACACUUUCUAACAUAGAAUACACGAAAGACUAUUUAUGAAACCUAGUCGGAAGGCGGAUUUAGCAGUAAAAAGAAAUC
rnacentral:rRNA from 1 species